AGCUUCAGUAGCGUAUAUUAAAGUUGUUGCAGUUAAAAAGCUCGUAGUCGCAUUUCUGGCGAGAGGAUCCGGUCCGACCUUUUGGUGGGUUCUUGGGUCUCUUUCGCCAUCCUUGAGUGGUCCGUUCUGGCAUUAGGUUGUCGGAGCGUCAGCCGCUCAUCGUUUACUGUGAGAAAAUUAGAGUGUUCAAAGCAGGCCUAUGCCGUUGAAUAUAUUAGCAUGGAAUAAUAAGAUAGGACCUCGGUACUAUUUUGUUGGUUUGCGCGCCAAGGUAAUGAUGAACAGGGACAGUUGGGGGUAUUUGUAUUUCGUUGUCAGAGGUGAAAUUCUUAGAUUUACGAAAGACAAACUACUGCGAAAGCAUUUACCAAGGAUGUUUUCA
rnacentral:rRNA from 1 species